rnacentral:tRNA from 1 species
GCCGCCUUAGCUCAGUAGGUUAGAGCGCUUGAUUGUGGAUCAAGAGGUCGUAGGUUCGAAUCCCACAGGCGGUACCA